rnacentral:lncRNA from 1 species
AAAAAAAAAAAAAAAGGUGCAGAAAGAGAGCAGAGUGAAAGUGACGGGUGAGAGAGACUUGAGGAGAGAGAAAGAAAAAAAGUCACUGUGCUUCUUCUCCGAGAGGUCCUCGCCUCAGUCGCCUGACUCUAUUGCUGCUCAUUGUGCCUCCCGUUGCAGCGACCACCGUGCUCACACCUUCGCCAUCAGGUUCACCCAGCCGCGCCACCGCACCCCUGUGCCGACGCCUCCGCCCGCCGCCUCCGACGAUCGUGCCC